rnacentral:rRNA from 1 species
GAAGCAAGACCGUGAGGUGGAGCAAAACUCAAAAACUUGUCUCAGUUCGGAUUGUAGGCUGAAACUCGCCUACAUGAAGCUGGAGUUGCUAGUAAUCGCGAAUCAGCAUGUCGCGGUGAAUACGUUCCCGGGCCUUGUACACACCGCCCGUCACACCAUGAGAGUUGGCAAUACCCAACGUACGUGAUCUAACCCGCAAGGGAGGAAGCGUCCUAAGGUAGGGUCAGCGAUUGGGGUGAAGUCGUAACAAGGUAGC